GAUGAACGCUGGCGGCGUGCCUAAUACAUGCAAGUCGAGCGAACAGACGAGGAGCUUGCUCCUCUGACGUUAGCGGCGGACGGGUGAGUAACACGUGGAUAACCUACCUAUAAGACUGGGAUAGCUUCGGGAAACCGGAGCUAAUACCGGAUAAUAUAUUGAACCGCAUGGUUCAAUAGUGAAAGACGGUUUUGCUGUCACUUAUAGAUGGAUCCGCGCCGCAUUAGAUAGUUGGUAAGGUAACGGCUUACCAAGGCGACGAUGCGUAGCCGACCUGAGAGGGUGAUAGGACACACUGGAAGGGAGACACGGUACAGAGGACUACGGGAGGCAGCAGUAGGGAAUAUUGCGCAAUGGGCGAAAGCCUGACGGAGCAACGCCGCGUGAGUGAUGAAGGUCUUCGGAUCGUAAAACUCUGUUAUUAGGGAAGAAAAAAUGUGUAAGUAAAUAUGCAAGUAUUGACGGUACCUAAUCAGAAAGCAACGGCUAACUACGUG
rnacentral:rRNA from 1 species